CAGUGAAAGCGCAUCGUGCACACAGUUGUGCCCAGCUCCCGUUCUCUGAGAGCUGGCUGCCAGGGUAGACUUGAGCAAAGGGCAUACAAGGGGCAGAACUGACUGGCUGCAAGGUGUCUGGAGUGCCUUUUGUUGCCGUGUCCUUGGAAGGUGUCUCACACUGGAGUAAGUACAAUGACACAGCUCUCAGCCUGGGAAUUCAUGAGUGGUCUGCCUUUCCACUAUUAUUCAGGGAUUUGGAAGAACUGAAGUGCUCCUGGGAACAAGAAAUAGCAACCCACAAUGGAGGCGACUGCUCAGAUGAUGCAAGAUGUUGGAAACCAUUAAGGCUAACCCAUAACCUCAGACACAUUCCUCCCAUCCCAUGUCCCAGGGACACCAAGAUCCACUACCCUGUAUAUGGCAGAGCCAUUCUGAUGCUGGGAACAAGAUGAAUCUGGAUGGAAUCAGAAAACACAGGGUAUGGCAACAACAGGGAGAACCAGGGAAAGAUGGUGGGUUCAGGGCACAGCUGCCGUGUGUGUGACAAUGGACAUGCUACUGGUCCCACAGCUGGGUGGCCAGACAAGAACCAUGAGAAAGGCAGUGCUUUUCCUGCUUUUUCUGCUUUUCCCACUUUUCCUGAAAGAAAGAAAGCAGAGGUGCAGCCCACGGCUCCCACAUGCCAGCUCUGCCACAGCCCCUUGCAGCAUUGCCCGGCUGUAAAGAUGUGAAGGGCCAGUUUGAGUUGAAAGACACAGGUGCCCCUGGCAGCACUGUGCUGUAUAGAAUGCUGUGACCCUCCCUGACCUGCAGAGCUCAAACUGGGGUGGAAAUGCUGUGAAAAUUGUCUGAACUGUGGAGUUUGUGCUGUGCAGUGGUUACAUGUUAUCAGAUCAGGAACAUAGAUCCAGACUUCGGAGCAAAGAAAGGGUAGAACAUUUCUUCUGCUGUUAGCUUCUCUUCUUGUUCCUCCCACACACGCGCUGCUGCACUGUCAUCUACAGAUUUAAAGGAGUUUUAACAGCUCCUGAAGGAUCAAGCUCUCUUCACUCAGAUUACCUUGAGAAAUUAGUGUCUGAAGAAAAAAAAAAAUAAAAAAUGCAAUUGGUUAUCUACUAUGGGAAGCUGACAAAAUAUUUCCUUAAAUUGGAUCUACCUUUACUGGCUUCUGGAGGGACAACUUUAUAAGUGAUUUUCAAAGCUUUUCAGUGGAACAUGGGCGUUCUGCCAUAUAUAUACAAAUGAAUAAAACAUACUCCAAAACUUAGCAAAUACAAACUCCAGGUGGAUUGGCCAUAUUUUUGCAUCUUUCCCAGCCAUGGAGAUCAGUCCAGGCCCUUUUCAACCUAGGAAGUACAAAGCCCGGAAAGUAACACACUCAGCAACACUUUGUCCAUACUGAAGGGCGCCAAGCACGUCGUUAACACGUGUGUAUGUACAGUCACCAUCCAACACUUUGGGAAUAGAACACAUGGCUGUUCUAGGACCAAGUGAUGUAAAUUCCCUUUGCUGCAGCAAAAUUUCUUGUCUAAAUGAGCACAGCAAAGGCCCUGUGCUCCAGAUGGCCUAAACAAGGUGUGGACUUCCCCUCCAUGCACCGAAUUCCAAGCUUGCUAAAUGUGGCACCCUGCCAUGGGAAGUUGAGUCUCAAAGUGACCCAGCUUCACCUCCGGCUGGUCAGCUACCUCCCAGCCAAAGCUGAUCAAGGACUAUAACAGCAGGGGAAGAAAGUAUAUAUGUUUAUGAAAUCUCUCUCCCAGUCCCUUGCUCAAAAAAAGUGCCAUCAUCCCAAUCCUUUCAAGCACAGUUUUAUUGUUCGGACAGAGAGCUCACAAACAAAUUCCAAAACAAAGCUAUUUCCUGGGCUGAAAUGACCUAGGGCUAUUGCCAACAACCUCAAGCCAGUGUAGCUACAUUGACAGGGAAGAGAUCUAAUUCUGUUAAACCAGCCUCCCCAUACUUUAAUUUCACUGCCAGUCAGAUUCAUGUUUCAGCUCACUGCCAUAAAUCACUGAUCUUGAACAAAUAUCCAAGGCAAAGACAAAAACAGGCUUUCAAGUUUUAGCACCACAGGCUUUGAGAGCCUGGUAUAUCAGCCAGUGUUGAGCUUGGGCCUUGCUCAGGAAACAAUUGAACUUUUGUCCUCCCCCUGAGAAUGUACACUGUAUGGUGGUGUGCUUAGCAGCAUCUUGAAGGACUGGGUUGAUCUCUGGAUGCCACAUGAUAUAAGGAAAAAUGAAGAACAGUGAUAGAAACACUCCAUGCUCAAAGUAGUAUAGCAUGUCACACCCCCAUAGAAAAACACAGAAAUGUUCAGAAUAUCCGUGGGAAUGCAACGGGACUGAUUGUGAUUUUGCCAAUGCCGCGGACAUGCCAAAUCUAGCAAGCUGCCUCUGGAACCAUUGCCAUCAGCAGCUGCCAAAUAUUGCCAACCAUCUCAUUAGCAGUGAUCUGCAUCUGCCAACAAGAAAAGCUGCCAGAGUGAGUUAUAGCUGCUGAACUGUGAGCUUGAGGGCUGGUGGGCACUUAGGAAGGAGAGACACUGCCUUCAUGUCCACUAGAGUCUCUCCGUUCCCCUCAAGGUCAGGUGCGAGGAGCUGGACUUAAACUCCUUGUUUCCUUCCCCUUUUCUUCUUCUCCCAUACACUCUACAGAUAGCUCUAGUUCAGAUUCAAACAAUUUUUCCCAUGCAGAAAAGAGAGAAAAAAAUAUCCUCUCUCAAAAUAUCCCCCAAAAGAAAACAAAACCAGUGCAGUAACCAAAGCAAAGUUCUAACUCUGAGAAGGAAAACUGGCAGGAGCUCUGUGAAACCAGCUAGCAGCUACUCUAGGCUGUCCCUCCCAAGGCACUUUUACACAGAAGGUGCUCAGAAAGCAUGGAUGGGAUGGAGGAGGAAGAAAGAAAAGAUCCAAGAGUGACAAAACAAGUAGUCAGAGCAGAAACUUUGCUGUUUCACACAAACUAAUACAAAUACUGAUCAUUUAAACUGCUGUGUUGAUAUAAAUGAUGGACAAAAUAUUUACUCAGAGGUCUCUGAUCACCUUUUGAAAGCAAGCACUGCUGCACAAAAGACAGAUCCUGUCCUGAGAAAUCUACAGUCUUGCUUGCCAGG